AUUGAACGCUGGCGGAAUGCUUUACACAUGCAAGUCGAACGGCAGCACGGACUUCGGUCUGGUGGCGAGUGGCGAACGGGUGAGGAACAUAUCGGAACGUAUCCAAUAAUGGGGGAUAACUAAUCGAAAGGUUGGCUAAUACCGCAUACGCCCUACGGGGGAAAGCAGGGGAUCUUCGGACCUUGCGUUAAUGGAGCGGCUGAUAUCUGAUUAGCUAGUUGGUGAGGUAAAGGCUCACCAAGGCGACGAUCAGUAGCUGGUCUGAGAGGACGACCAGCCACACUGGAACUGAGACACGGUCCAGACUCCUACGGGAGGCAGCAGUGGGGAAUUUUGGACAAUGGGCGCAAGCCUGAUCCAGCCAUUCCGCGUGAGUGAAGAAGGCCUUCGGGUUGUAGAGCUCUUUCGCAAGGGAAGAAAACUUACUUUCUAAUAAAGAGUGAGGUUGACGGUACCUUGAUAAGAAGCACCGGCUAACUACGUGCCAGCAGCCGCAGUAA
rnacentral:rRNA from 1 species